UACGAAGGGGGCUAGCGUUGUUCGGAAUCACUGGGCGUAAAGGGCGCGUAGGCGGCUUUAUAAGUCGGGGGUGAAAGCCUGUGGCUCAACCACAGAAUUGCCUUCGAUACUGUAUGGCUUGAGACCGGAAGGGGUAAGUGGAACUGCGAGUGUAGAGGUGAAAUUCGUAGAUAUUCGCAAGAACACCAGUGGCGAAGGCGGCUUACUGGUCCGGUUCUGACGCUGAGGCGCGAAAGCGUGGGGAGCAAACAGG
rnacentral:rRNA from 1 species